rfam:Schistosoma mattheei strain Denwood, Zambia genome assembly, scaffold: SMTD_contig0008514
AUCCAUCUGAUGAGUCCUAAAAUAGAACGAAACGCGCGUGGAAAUGGAU